GCUCACCUCCAGCAGGAAGGAUGGCGCCCGGAGCUGGUACCCAGACUGCAAGUGAAAACAUGCCACGUGCAUGCAGAGACGAGUUCUGCCUGGGCUUGGAGAAUGGGGAAGCUGUGGGCUUUUAAAGGUCCAAUGAGAGUCCAGGCUUCAGGAAAGAGAAGAGUCAGUCUUCUGGGAGCACUGGAGGAAAGAUACGAAGAAGAUGGCCCUUGAGAAUACAGUCUCCUGUGGAUUCCAGGAGGACCUGGCCCAGAACCGAGGUAGAGAAAAGGUGAAUGUCACCUGAACCCAUUUUACCAGCUGUGCUGCAGGCAGAGUGACCUAGGAGAUGCUGAACCCUAAGGGAGGCCACAUUGGGAGAUCAAGAUGAUCUUAGUGGCACAUGAGAUUUGGUGACUGAGGAAGCUUCCCCCUUCUGUUGGCCUCUCUGCUGAGCCGGUCAGCCUGCAGCCUCCCCUGGGAUAUAGGGGCAGAGCUCACAGCAAACUUGGGUCCCGGAACAGGCUGCAACUGCUCUCAAUGGGUGCCUGUUGUUUGGAUAAUGAACCAGUACAGGGAACGGCUCCCUCCUCGUAGUUUGGGCAUAUGUCUUGCAUCCGCCCCAAAGUGAUGAAGAAAUCCCACAAGAUCAGGCUGCUUCAAAAGAACAGGAGCCUCUCCACCUCGAGCUCGUGGGUUCACCGUGGACUCAGGCACUUAACAACGUGGACAG